GCACUGCUGAUGAGUCCCGUACUAGGACGAAACAGCCGUCCAGUGC
rnacentral:hammerhead_ribozyme from 1 species